rnacentral:lncRNA from 1 species
ACCAUCUUUGAUCCAAACAGGGACUCCUCGCUCCAAUCCUCCACGGGAGAUUACAUGGAGCAAUCAUGAAAUUCUCUACUUUGUCCGCGAGUAACUUUGCGUGCUCUUCUCCUUCAUCGCUCUCUAUCGAAUUCAAGCAGCAAAACCUUGAGAAAUCCAAAAGCCCGUGCGUCAAUCCUGGCAGAAAAACAUACCUCCUCUUCCAAGCAGCGCGCCACCUCACGCUUGAGACCUUUGCAUUUCCCCGAAAAAUUGGCGGCCGCGGCAUGCUCCUUGUGGCAGCGCAAGAGGGAGGUGAUGAUCUGAGAGGCGACGAGUAAGGAGAAACCUACGCGCGCGAUUGCCUACCUUGGCGCAGUGGGGAUGCUGCUGGAGGACAAGUGGAGGCUGCAUUCUUCGCCCACCAAGAACCCUAAUUUUUUAUAAAGAGAGCGCUCAUACUUUCCACCACAUUCACUUUACUAUCAUAAAUUCCACGCUUGGGAUCUAUCUCGCGAUCUCGAUCGCUCUGAGCGCCCGUCACCAUCUUUGAUCCAAUCCGAACUUCAUUGAUCCAAUCGGAGCUCCGAUUUGAGCUCACGCUCGCGAGAAAAACUUAAAAUGUGUG